rnacentral:rRNA from 1 species
UACGUAGGGGGCAAGCGUUGUUCGGAAUUACUGGGCGUAAAGCGCGCGUAGGCGGUUUGGAAAGUCAGAUGUGAAAGCCCCGGGCUCAACUUGGGUACUGCAUUUGAUACUGCCAGACUAGAGUACAGAAGAGGUGACUGGAAUUCCCAGUGUAGCGGUGAAAUGCGUAGAUAUUGGGAGGAACACCAGAUGCGAAGGCGGGUCACUGGGCUGAUACUGACGCUGAUGCGCGAAAGCCAGGGGAGCGAACGGG